CGUGCACGCAGAUCGUCACCAUGUUUUCGACCUUGCCUAAGCAAUACACAACUUUUGGGCUGAUCCUCCUGGCGUCGGUGCUCAUUUCUUUACGAUCUGACGAAUACGGGCAGGGAGGAUGCGGCGGAUGAGUACACUGAUUGCGUCCAACACUGCAGCGCUUCAUCCACCCUAAAACGUCUCUUUGCGUACAUUACAGCAAUCUUUCCAAGUGCAACUAAAUCGUAUCGUACACGGCGACAACUACAACGCAGAAAAAGAAUGUACAGUACUCGACUAUGCUGUUUAGGUGCGGGGACAUCUGGAAAUGGUUUUCUUGUGAAACGGAAAGGCAUAUAGGACAACGUCCUAGGACAGUUUACAAGUACGAGACUGAGGUCACAAGGUACAGGAUUUAAUGCAGAGACUGCAACAGUAAGGACGGUCAGAACAACCGAGACCGUGCGGUUCACUCUCAAUUGUCGUGUAUUAUAAGUUGACUGCCGAUCGAGUCAGCCUGUGGACGGCUUGGAAAUGCACAACCUGUUGCGCUGAUAUCAAAAAGGAAAGAAGAUGAAAGUGUGACCGUUGCCAAGAACGGCAGUCGUGCGAACCUGAAAGAGACGAUGGCAGUGUAUGAAGACGACAGAGCAGUUUGAUACCUGCCACUCGAUAUCUGCUCUCUCUGCACUAACGGUUGCAAAUAUAGAAGACGUCACAGAAAAGCUCGACGUGCAUACGCCAUCAACACAACAGCGUCUUCUCGUGAUAGAUAUGCGAGCCCAAUAAAACCAAAAUUGUAUCGAUGUUCUACAAGUAUGUUGACAACUGACGAGAAAUGCUUGAGAUGACAAUGACAUCUGCAUUAUUAGAGGCGACAUUUGUGAUGGUCUCUGCGCGUGGGCACG